rnacentral:rRNA from 1 species
UACGCAGGUGGCGAGCGUUGUCCGGAAUCACUGGGCGUAAAGGGUGCGUAGGCGGCAGGGCAAGUCGCAGGUUAAAGCCCGGGGCUCAACCCCGGAAAGGCCUGCGAUACUGCCCUGCUUGAGGGCCGGAGAGGCUGGCGGAAUUCCCGGUGUAGGGGUGAAAUCCGUAGAUAUCGGGAGGAACACCGGUGGGGAAGCCGGCCAGCUGGACGGUCCCUGACGCUGAGGCACGAAAGCGUGGGGAGCAAACCGG